rnacentral:rRNA from 1 species
CAGCCGCCACGGUAAUACAGAGGGUGCAAGCGUUAAUCGGAUUUACUGGGCGUAAAGGGCGCGUAGGUGGUUAUUUAAGUGAGAUGUGAAAGCCCCGGGCUUAACCUGGGAACUGCAUCCUACACUGGGUAACUGGAGUGCAGUAGAGGGUAGUGGAAUUUCCGGUGUAGCGGUGAAAUGCGUAGAUAUCGGAAGGAACACCAGUGGCGAAGGCGGCUACCUGGACUGAGACUGACACUGAGGCGCGAGAGCGUGGGGAGCAAACAGGAUUAGAUACCCCAGUAGUCCCUGUCUCUUAUAC